AAAAUUUAAAAUAAAAAUACUAAAAUAGUAAUUAAAUAUUUAUUGAAACUUAAAUAAUUUGGCGGUAUUUUAGUUCAUUUAGAGGAAUCUGUUUAAUAAUUGAUAUUCCACGAAUAAAUUUACUUAUUUUAUAAUUUUGUAUAUCGUUGUUAUAAAAAUAUUUUUUAAUAAAAUUAAUAUUUAAAAAUUGAUAGAAAAAUUAAAUCAGAUCAAGAUGCAGAUUAUAAUUAAGAAUAUAAUGGAUUACAAUAAAUUUAUUUAAACGAAUUUUAAUUUGUAAUAUUAAUUGAAGGUGGAUUUAAAUGUAAUUUUAUUUAAUUUAAUGAAAUGAUUGAAAAUUAAAAUAUGU
rnacentral:rRNA from 5 species